UAACAUGGGUAAAUGAUUAAAAAAAAAUCGAAACCCAAAAAAAAAAGGAAGAAGAAGUAACAAAACAAAGUCGGGAACAAUGGAUUAAUGGAUAUGUAAAAGCCAUAAGGAGAACAGAACUAAAAUUAAAAUAUGAAAGAAUAUGCAAUAAACAUUGUAUAAGUGGAAAGCCAGCCACUUUAAAAAGAUAUUUCAAACCAAAACAUGGGUUACCAAAGCAGGCAAUAAAAAGAAAAGGUGAUCUAGAAUGCAAGAGAAGAGCUGAUGAAAGAAGUAAAUGUAAAGAAAAUAAUGAAGAGACUUCUCUCGACCAUGAACAAACACCAGAUAUUUUAUAUAUGUAGAAAAAGGAAAAACUGCUGGAACUUUAAUUUAAAGGCUUUUGACUAGUGAAGAUUUGGAUAAACAACAGGAGUUACUUUGGGCCAUAGCUACGUGCAAAUUUAUUUUCUUGUGGCUUCCUAUGUUUAUUCUUAUUAACUAUAUCUACACUUUGAUAUGUUUUUAGUCGCAUAUAUAGUUUAUUAUUUUAUGUAUAUUGUUAUAUUUGUGUUGAAUAAACAUUAUUAUUAUUA